rnacentral:rRNA from 1 species
UACGGGGGGGGCAAGCGUUGUUCGGAAUUACUGGGCGUAAAGGGCGCGUAGGCGGCCUGCUAAGUCGGAUGUGAAAUCCCUCGGCUCAACCGAGGAACUGCAUCCGAUACUGGCGGGCUUGAAUCCGGGGAGAGGGAUGUGGAAUUCCAGGUGUAGCGGUGAAAUGCGUAGAUAUCUGGAGGAACACCGGUGGCGAAGGCGGCAUCCUGGACCGGUAUGACGCUGAGGCGCGAAAGCUAGGGGAGCAAACGGGG